rnacentral:lncRNA from 1 species
UGUUAAACAGAUAGAGAAGGCGAUGGUGUCGGACCAGGAAUUAGCGAAAGGGAUAGAGACUGUGCUCCGUCAGUCAGACCCGAACGCCGUGACCUCCAUAGACGGCGUCGUUCAGCAACUCGAAGCGAAGCUAGGGUUAGACCUGUCUCAUAAAGCUGGCUUCAUUCGUGACCAGAUCAGCCUCUUGCUCCGGUCACAUCCGACGACAGUAACAACAACAACAACCACCGCAACCGCCUUACCUGUCACACAACCACUGCACCCACUUCCACAUCCACAAAUUCAACCACAAACCUUCCACCUUACACCGAAAGACCAUUUUGCCCUCCAACAUCACCCGCAAUUCCAACAAUUUCCUCCCCAUUUUGCCCUCUAUACUCAACACCAGCAGCAACAACACCACCACCAACAGCAGCAGCAGAUUUUUCCUCAGGACCUCAACUUCCGUCAGCCACAGGCGCCACAUCCUUCGCAGCAGCAGCAACAUCCGCAGAGGCAGCAGCCACCGCCCGUCGCCAAAACACAAUUCAAAAUUUUUAAAAUGUUGAACCUGAAUCGGCCCUUGAACCAUCGAUUCCUGGUCCAAUUUUGGUUUUGGCUGGUUUCGGUGCAGUUCCGAUGAACCAAAGGUUCCGAUCACGAUUUUCGGUGAUAUAUGUUUUUUUAUUUAAAAAAUCGGUUCUAAUAUUACAUCUUUCUUUCAAAAAUAUUAAUAUGAGUUUUAAAAAUAUUGGUAAAUUUUAUUUUAAAUAAAUUGUAGAAUGCUCAUACUCAUAUAAGAAUAAAAUUUAUUAAUUUUACAAAAUAAUCAAAUAAAUUAUCACUUUAUUUUGUUUAAAUGUUAUUAAUUAAAUAAAUUAUAAGAAAAUUUUGAAAAAUGCUUAAUGUAAUUUUAAACUCAGUAAAUAAUUUAAACGGGUAAAAAAAAGAGUUAAAAAUAAUAUAAGUUUAGACUAAAUAUUUCUUUCUUUUUUUACCAUUUUAUUUUUUAGAUGUUUAACUUUUAAAGUGAAGUGCAUUUAAAAAAAAAAAAAUCUUAAGUAAAGUAUAUCAUGUAGUAAAAUAUUAUUGAAAUUUUUAGAGAUGUAUAAAAUAGGCUGAAUGAUUAUCAUUUUGAAAAUAAAAAUAGAAAAUUUCUAGUUCGAACCGGACCAGAAUCGCUGGUUAACCGCUGGUUCAAGACCGGUUCAGGUUUAAAUUUUAAUAGUCACAUAAAUCUUAAUCGGCCCUUGAACCGCCAGUUUUAGUUCAAAACUUUGAACCUAUGAUUCCAAUUUGAUUUUUAUUUUUUACAGUACGGUUUGAUUCUGGUUCAAAGUAAAUCGGUGGCCAUGCCUAUAUUAAUGUGCUUAAUAUAUUAUAUAUUCAAAAAUAUUUAAUAUUUUUCUUUUUGAGGAAAAAAAAUCUAAAUAGCAGCACUCAUUUCCCAUACAACGGUGUGCCAUUUAAGUAACCCUCAAGUUACCCUCUCUUUAGUCCCAAGCGGACAAGGUACUUUAAUUUUAUUUUGCACUUUCUCUCUUUCCCCAUCAAUUCAGCACUUCUUUAUUCAAGAUCUACUCUAUUCUUUUAUUUAUUUAUUUAUUUAAUGUCAAUUCUUAAAGAUUCAUAAAUCACCCUCUUCAUCUUCUAAUUUACAUAAUUACCUCAACCUGUUUAUCUUUAUCUCGCGUAAACCCGAGGAGCACCAUUGUCAUUUAAUAUUCUUGACAUGACAGAUACACAGGUAGAAGAAAGAGAAACUUCACUCCAUUUCCCAGUUUUGUCCCUUGUACCACCUGAUACGUGCCGUUGGUAUAGGGGCAUUAUUGUCUUUCGGAUUUGAAAUUUGAACCGAAUGACAGUAGGGGCAUUUAAGUCAUUUGACAAUUAUAAAGAGAGAGAUAGAGAGAGACAAGAAAAAAGGGCAGAAAGAGAGAGAAAGAGAGCAGGGGUGUAUGUGUGAGAGAGAGAAUUGUUUGUGUCCGUUUUUUCUGUUAAAUAUAUGUUAAACAGAUAGAGAAGGCGAUGGUGUCGGACCAGGAAUUAGCGAAAGGGAUAGAGACUGUGCUCCGUCAGUCAGACCCGAACGCCGUGACCUCCAUAGACGGCGUCGUUCAGCAACUCGAAGCGAAGCUAGGGUUAGACCUGUCUCAUAAAGCUGGCUUCAUUCGUGACCAGAUCAGCCUCUUGCUCCGGUCACAUCCGACGACAGUAACAACAACAACAACCACCGCAACCGCCUUAC